GAUGAACGCUAGCUACAGGCUUAACACAUGCAAGUCGAGGGGCAGCAUGGUCUUAGCUUGCUAAGGCCGAUGGCGACCGGCGCACGGGUGAGUAACACGUAUCCAACCUGCCGUCUACUCUUGGACAGCCUUCUGAAAGGAAGAUUAAUACAAGAUGGCAUCAUGAGUCCACAUGUUCACAUGAUUAAAGGUAUUCCGGUAGACGAUGGGGAUGCGUUCCAUUAGAUAGUAGGCGGGGUAACGGCCCACCUAGUCUUCGAUGGAUAGGGGUUCUGAGAGGAAGGUCCCCCACAUUGGAACUGAGACACGGUCCAAACUCCUACGGGAGGCAGCAGUGAGGAAUAUUGGUCAAUGGGCGAGAGCCUGAACCAGCCAAGUAGCGUGAAGGAUGACUGCCCUAUGGGUUGUAAACUUCUUUUAUAAAGGAAUAAAGUCGGGUAUGCAUACCCGUUUGCAUGUACUUUAUGAAUAAGGAUCGGCUAACUCCGUGCCAGCAGCCGCGGUAAUACGGAGGAUCCGAGCGUUAUCCGGAUUUAUUGGGUUUAAAGGGAGCGUAGAUGGAUGUUUAAGUCAGUUGUGAAAGUUUGCGGCUCAACCGUAAAAUUGCAGUUGAUACUGGAUAUCUUGAGUGCAGUUGAGGCAGGCGGAAUUCGUGGUGUAGCGGUGAAAUGCUUAGAUAUCACGAAGAACUCCGAUUGCGAAGGCAGCCUGCUAAGCUGCAACUGACAUUGAGGCUCGAAAGUGUGGGUAUCAAACAGGAUUAGAUACCCUGGUAGUCCACACGGUAAACGAUGAAUACUCGCUGUUUGCGAUAUACAGCAAGCGGCCAAGCGAAAGCGUUAAGUAUUCCACCUGGGGAGUACGCCGGCAACGGUGAAACUCAAAGGAAUUGACGGGGGCCCGCACAAGCGGAGGAACAUGUGGUUUAAUUCGAUGAUACGCGAGGAACCUUACCCGGGCUUAAAUUGCAGAUGAAUUACGGUGAAAGCCGUAAGCCGCAAGGCAUCUGUGAAGGUGCUGCAUGGUUGUCGUCAGCUCGUGCCGUGAGGUGUCGGCUUAAGUGCCAUAACGAGCGCAACCCUUGUUGUCAGUUACUAACAGGUUCCGCUGAGGACUCUGACAAGACUGCCAUCGUAAGAUGUGAGGAAGGUGGGGAUGACGUCAAAUCAGCACGGCCCUUACGUCCGGGGCUACACACGUGUUACAAUGGGGGGUACAGAGGGCCGCUACCACGCGAGUGGAUGCCAAUCCCCAAAACCUCUCUCAGUUCGGACUGGAGUCUGCAACCCGACUCCACGAAGCUGGAUUCGCUAGUAAUCGCGCUUCAGCCACGGCGCGGUGAAUACGUUCCCGGGCCU
rnacentral:rRNA from 1 species